rnacentral:lncRNA from 1 species
GGUUGGUAGAUAUAGGUGCAGCAAUAUUUUUAUUUUACUUCUAUGAAGAAUGAUGAGGUGAUUAGAUGAGGUAGGUAUGCUUGUACGGUGAUAAUUUUGAGAGAAGACAUUUGAUGCAUUGCUUUUAUUUAUUUCCCACUGUCACGAUUUCUUUAAUUUUUUUUUUCAGCACAUUUCCAUAUCUUUAGAUGAAACAUGAUUCAUGAUAAAGCAAAGGAGGCCAUGGCAAAAGUUACAUUUUAGAAGCAAUUGCAAUUUUAAUUUUCUUUUAAGUGGAGCUCAUGGUCACGUGAGAAUGUAGAGAUAUUUUGUUUUUUUUUUUUUAUUUCCUUUGCCUUAGAAUAAUUUUGCAUUACAUGUUUAAUUCUUUUUCAUCUUUUUAAUUAAGUGUUGUAUUUUAAUAGUUUUAAUUGUGUUUAGAUGUUUGUUGGUUACAAUGUUGGGUUAGUAUUUUAUUUUACUUUUAUGUUUUCUAUCUUACUCUGUUGUGUUUAAUUUCUAUGCAUUUUAAUUGAGCUUAAUUCUCAUCUCAAAAACUUUUCACAACCUCCCCACUACGUGUUUGACCUAAGACUCGAACCACAUUUGGUCCUUGAGAGACGACUUAGGAGUCACUUCCUAGUCUAUACUGCAUUCUUAAUAUGCAAUUAAAUUUGUAUGGGCUGCGACACCCAUCAAAAUUUUGGCGCUGUUUCCGGGGACCAAAGGUUCAGUUUUAGGUCUUUGUUGUGUUAGUGUGCGUUGGGUCUUGUCUCGUGUUGUGAGUGUGUUGUUCCGUUUUGUGUGUCGUGUCAUGUGUGUUGCAUUUAGAUAGUUGCAUAUUUCCAUUCCAUUCUCCCUUCCCCCUUUCUUUCCCAUGUCUACCUAUUUUGGCUUUGUGGAUACUGCUUAUUCUUCCUGUGCCUAUGAUUAUGAUUCUCCUUCUGGAUGUUACUCCGAUGAUUGUGAUGUAUACUCUGCUGAUUUUUGUGCUGAGAACAAUAUGACUCAUCCUCCC